AUGUGGUUUAAUUCGACGCAACGCGAAGAACCUUUACCUGGGUUUGACAUCCCGAUCGUACUCGUAUGGAAACAUAGGGGUCAGUUCGGCUGGAUCGGUGACAGGUGCUGCAUGGCUGUCGUCAGCUCGUGUCGUGAGAUGUUGGGUUAAGUCCCGCAACGAGCGCAACCCUUGUCCUUAGUUGCCACCAUUCAGUUGGGCACUCUAAGGAGACUGCCGGUGUUAAACCGGAGAAGGUGGGAUGACGUCAAGUCCUCAUGGCCCUUAUAUCCAGGGCUACACACGUGCUACAAUGGCCGGUACAAAGGGUCGCAAUACCGCGAGGUGAAGCGAAUCCCAGCAAAGCCGACCUCAGUACGGAUAGCAGGCUGCAACUCGCCUGCUUGAAGCUGGAGUUGCUAGUAACCGCGCGUCAGCGAUAGUGCGGUGAAUACGUUCCCGGGGCUU
rnacentral:rRNA from 1 species